UCUGAUGCCCAGAGUGAAUUAUAUUUUCCCUGCAGUGUGGGUGCCUAGAGCAAAGCAGCUGGUCUGUCCUUUCACAGAGAACCAGAAUAGGUAUCUUUUGUGAGGAGAUGCUAUCUCCACUACAGAGUAAUUUUAAGCAACAAAGAGGAAGGAGGGCCACCUUCUUUCAAGGUUACAAGUAAAGUGCCCAGCCCAAGCAAAAGCCAAGUAUCUGGAUCCUGCAGUAAGCACUGGGUUAAUUCUCAGUCCAGAACAUUGUCGUAGUUCUUCAUCCAUUGCAGAAACUUCCUUCUCCUACCCAGCUGCAGAGAGCUGCCAAGAAAACUGAGGAAACUUGACCAUUGCCUCUCCUGCUGCAAAAACCUGCCACCCCUCAGGCACAGGCUGCCUGCAGGAAAUUAGACACCUGCUUUGGUCUUCUUCUUGCAGUCAUGAAGUGUUGGUAUAGUAUGUCUGCCAAACCACUAUUAAUAAACCACCUUUUUGACUGUCACAGAGUAUGCCAAGAUAAAAUGCCAUUCCUUCUACCAUCCAUCUUCUUUUUGUUUCACAGGUCCUGGCAGAGCUCUCUUUUCUGUACUAUUUCCUGAUCUGUUGAGAUUUGUGCAGCACUGACCAAGAGAGGAAGAAGAUAAAACUAAUGAAUUAGUCAAAUAAGUAGGAGUUAAAGGAAACUACUUGUUCUCAGUUUUACCAUUAUGGCCUGAUCUACAACCUGCUAUCCUAGGGGGGAAAAAAGAAAGUGUAUUAAUUUUGAAGAAUACAUGAACCUUCUGCAUGGGUUAUAUACACAGGUGUUGCUGUGGUCUGUGCCCAUCUUCAUGGGCUUGUCCUUUACAAGUCUAAUACAGCUGCUGGAGAGAAGCAGGAGAGGAAAUUGAUGAAAAAUAGGGCUAACAUCUUCUUUCAUUUAAAUUCCUUUCACUUAGUGUUAUUUUUCACAUAGAAUAGGAAAAAAAAAAAGUAUUAUUGUGUUUGUACUCUGUUUAUUAACUGCAUUACCCUGCUCACGCACAGCACAGCCUGGUGAAUGUUGCAAUAUAUUGCAAAAGGUGUUAUUAACAUAAUCCCCUUCCAACAGCUGGAGCAGCUGAGAAAAUUGCACAGGGUUAUUGAAACUCAUCCAGCAGCGUGAGGGAAAAUAGCUUUGUCAUCCUGUCUCAGGCCAGCACUGCUCUGACCAGGGCAAGAGCCACAGCUCAUUUCUCAGUCUUAGCUGAGAGUCAAGUCUUCCUUGACGUAUAGUCAAGUUUUGGCCUCUGUUGCACAGACGUUAGAUUUCCAGAAGAAGGGAUUUUGGAGCACCCAAACUUUUUUUAUCAAAGGUCAUGUCUGUAACUGCUUUAAGUUAGCUCACUUGCAAUGACUGCUGCAUUUCCACUGACCUUACAAAAGCACCAGGACUCAUCUCAUGCAGUGAAUCCACUAAGGAAUUAAAAAUUAAGGACAUUUAAAUACCCAUUGGGAAAACUCUCCUUCAGGUUUAAUCUGUUUUUUGUUUGUUGGUUGGUUUUAAUAAGGCUAAAACAGAUUAAGGAAACUGUUGUUUUACAAAAGAGUUUUCAAAUAAAGUAUUUAUUGUGAAUUA